AUUGAACGCUGGCGGCAUGCCUUACACAUGCAAGUCGAACGGUAACAGGUCUUCGGAUGCUGACGAGUGGCGAACGGGUGAGUAAUACAUCGGAACGUGCCCGAGAGUGGGGGAUAACGAGGCGAAAGCUUUGCUAAUACCGCAUACGAUCUCAGGAUGAAAGCAGGGGACCGCAAGGCCUUGCGCUCACGGAGCGGCCGAUGGCAGAUUAGGUAGUUGGCGGGAUAAAAGCUUACCAAGCCGACGAUCUGUAGCUGGUCUGAGAGGACGACCAGCCACACUGGGACUGAGACACGGCCCAGACUCCGACGCGAGGCAGCAGUGGGGAAUUCUGGACAAUGGGCGCAAGCCUGAUCCAGCCAUGCCGCGUGCAGGAUGAAGGCCUUCGGGUUGUAAACUGCUUUUGUACAGAACGAAAAGGCUUCUACUAAUACUAGGAGCUCAUGACGGUACUGUAAGAAUAAGCACCGGCUAACUACGUGCCAGCCGCCGCAGUAACAC
rnacentral:rRNA from 1 species